rnacentral:rRNA from 1 species
GAUGAACGCUGGCGGCAUGCCUAAUGCAUGCAAGUCGAGCGCACAGAUGAAGAGCUUGCUACUCUGACGUUAGCGGCGGACGGGUGAGUACCACGUGGAUCACCUACCUCUACUACUAGGAUAACUUCCUGACAACCGAGCUAAUACCGGAUAAUAUAUUCAACCGCAUGGUUCCAUCUUAAAAGCCGGUUUUUCUGUCGCGUAUAGAUGGAUCCUCGCCGCAUUAGCUAGUUGGUAAGGUAACGGCUUACCAAGGCAACGAUGCGUAGCCGACCUGAGAGGGUGAUCGGCCACAAUGGAACUGAGACAAGGUCAAGACUCCGAAGGGAGGCAGCAGUAGGGAAUCUCCCGCAAUGGGCGAAAGCCUGACGGAGCAACGCAGCGCGGGUGAUGAAGGUCUUAGGAUCGUAAAACUCUGUUACUAGGGAAGAACAAAUGUGUAAGUAACUAUGCACGUCUUGACGGUACCUAAUCAGAAAGCCACGGCUAAAUACGUG